rnacentral:rRNA from 1 species
UACGGGGGGGGCGAGCGUUGUUCGGAAUCACUGGGCGUAAAGGGCGCGUAGGCGGCCCGCACAAGUCUGCGGUGAAAACCCCCGGCUUAACCGGGGGCCGGCCGUGGAAACUGUCGGGCUGGAGGCUGGGAGAGGGCAGCGGAAUUCCUGGUGUAGCGGUGAAAUGCGCAGAUAUCAGGAAGAACACCCGUGGCUAAGGCGGCUCUCUAGUACGGUACUGACGCUGAGACGCGAAAGCGUGGGGAGCGAACAGG